ACAGUCUAAAUUAAAGGGGGGGACCUGCCCACUGUAGUAUUUAAAGGGCCGCGGUAUUAUGACCGUGCAAAGGUAGCAUAAUCAUUAGUCUUUUAAUUGAGGGCUGGAAUGAAUGGUUUGACGAGAUGCUAACUGUCUCAUUGUUAUAUAUAUAGAAGUUAACUUUUAAGUUAAAAGGCUUAAGUAUAGAUAAAGGACGAGAAGACCCUAUAAAGCUUUAUAUAUAAUGAAUAUUGAUUUAAGUUUAGGUGUAUAAUUAAGUUUUUAUUAGUAUAUUUUGUUGGGGUGACAUAAAGAUAAACUGAACUCUUUAUUUUAUAUACAUUAAUUUAUGGGUAGAUGAUCCAUUUAUAGUGAUCAAAAGAUUAAGUUACUUUAGGGAUAACAGCGUAAUUUUUUUUAAGAGUUCAUAUCAACAAAGAAGAUUGCGACCUCGAUGUUGGAUUAAGGAUAUGGUUAGGUGUAGCAGUUUAAUUAAUAGGUCUGUUCGACCUUUAAAUCCUUACGUGAUCUGAGUUCAGACCGG
rnacentral:rRNA from 1 species